rnacentral:misc_RNA from 1 species
GAUGAAGAACGCAGCGAAAUGCGAUAAGUAAUGUGAAUUGCAGAAUUCAGUGAAUCAUCGAAUCUUUGAACGCACCUUGCGCUCCUUGGUAUUCCGAGGAGCAUGCCUGUUUGAGUGUCAUGAAAUUCUCAACCUUUUCAGCUUUCUUUGUUGAUCAGGCUUGGAUGUGGGAGUAUGCGGGCUUCUCAGAAGUCGGCUCUCCUGAAAUGCAUUAGCGGGACCUUUGUUGCCUGGCUUUGGUGUGAUAAUUAUCUACGCCAUUGUAGUCAAGCAGCUUAAAAUGAGGUUUCAGCUUCUAACCGUCUCCCCUGAGACAACUUUUUGACAAUUUGACCUCAAAUCAGGUAGGACUACCCGAUGAACUUAAGCAUAUCAAUAAGCGGAGGA